GCUCCAGGGCCUGAUGGGAUCCCUUUCUUUUUCUAUCAGCACUUCUGGGAUCUGGUGGAAAAAGACCUGAUGGAUAUGUUUUCAGACUUCCACAAAGGGGAGUUUGACAUACAUAUGCUUAACUUUGCUAUGCUAACUCUGGUUUCCAAAAAAGCAGAUGCCUCUUCUAUGAAGAAGUUUAGGCCCAUCACCCUCUUGAACUGUAGUUUUAAGAUUUUCACUAAAGUACUCACCAAUAGGUUGUCAAAGAUCUUGCACAGGCUGGUAGCUAGCAACCAGUCUACCUUCUUAAAAGGUAGAUAUAUUUUGGAAAGUGUGGUGACAGCACAUGAGGUGCUGCACUCAAUCCACUCUAGUAAGAGAGAAGGCUUGGUACUAAAAAUAGACUAUGAGAAAGCCUUUGAUAAAGUCAAUCUAGAAUUUAGAGGAACUUCUUAA
rnacentral:rRNA from 1 species